GGAAUCUUGCACAAUGGGCGAAAGCCUGAUGCAGCGACGCCGCGUGGGGGAUGAAGGCCUUAGGGUCGUAAACCCCUUUCAGCAGGGACGAAAAUGACGGUACCUGCAGAAGAAGCCCCGGCCAACUACGUGCCAGCAGCCGCGGUAAGACGUAGGGGGCGAGCGUUGUCCGGAUUUAUUGGGCGUAAAGAGCUCGUAGGCGGUUGCGUAAGUCGGAUGUGAAAACUCAGGGCUCAACCCUGAGACGCCAUCCGAUACUGCGCUGACUUGAAUCCAGUAGGGGAGUGUGGAAUUCCUGGUGUAGCGGUGAAAUGCGCAGAUAUCAGGAGGAACACCCAUGGCGAAGGCAGCACUCUGGGCUGGUAUUGACGCUGAGGAGCGAAAGCAUGGGUAGCGAACAGGAUUAGAUACCCACGUAGUCCCUGAGCGGGCUGGCAAGGCGCAU
rnacentral:rRNA from 1 species